AAACCGCCCCCUAAGUAUUGCCCCUUUUGCAGUUUUGGCCCCAGACCAAUUUUAACCAAGUCAAUGCACACGUGGAUGCACAUGUGUAAUUUUUUUUAAUUAAAAAAAUAAGAAAUUUUUUUAAUAAUUAAAAAAAAUCACAUGUGGCAUCCACAUCAGCUUUGACUUGGUCAAAAUUGAUCUGGGGCCAAAACUGCAAAAGGGGCAAUACUUAGGGGGCGGUUU
rfam:Medicago truncatula strain A17 chromosome 8, whole genome shotgun sequence.